ensembl:lncRNA
CGACUUCCCCUCCAUUUAAACACCAUACUUUUAAAUUUAGACUACAGCGCUAGCAGAAGGCGGGUGAGUUUUGGCCUGAAGAAGCCGCCGUCGAGGGGCGUGGCGAUGCAGCCGCAAUAGAAACGCAUCGCGUGCAGGUAGCUGCGGAUCGGCUUCCCUGAUGUACAAUGGCUCCGCCGGUAAUUCUCAAUCUCAAUAACGAGAGCCCCAACUUGUCUGCUUCUGUUACGGAUCACCAGGUAGACAUCGAGUUCCAGGGAUGUGCUUGUUGUUUUGCCAGGAAGGUCUGUUGUGUGCCUAGUGUUCCGUCACGCUUGCCCAACUGCGUAUCUGAAUAUGUUAUCUUAAGGACAAUCUGUAAAAGGUCUGUUUUAUCUCUCUCCUCCGCCUUUGUAUUUCUGCUUGCCAACUUCUCCUACAACCCCCUAUAAAAACAGCCUUGGACUCUGAGCCAGUUGCCUCUCUAAGCUACUUCGCUUUGGGAGUGCCGUCUGGCCAGACUAAUAAAGGUCUGUUUUACUUUCCAACUUGUCCAGUGUGUUCCUUCCUGGGUGUUCUUCGCUACAGUCAGCUCCUCGGAGCGUUUGGUAAGGCCCUUGGUCUUACAGUCUGAGAGACUUGAAAAUGUCAGUUUAUCUCUGUAUCCAAAGUCCUUUAACAUGAAGCUCAGGAUACUACCUUCCUCAUAAGGUUGUGAGAAAUUAGCUAAGUGUAUAGUGCCUGACCCUUAAUAAACUCAGUACAAGUUACCUGCCUUUUAUUCGUUGUCAAAAUUAAAGGACGGGAUUAAGAAUUGUAACUUGUCCUAAGAAUUGCUGAUAUUGAAUGAGUCCCUGUGCGGUUAAUGCUUCGUUUCUUUUUCCACUUAAACUGCCUCAUUUCUCUGCUUCCUUUUGUAACAAAACUUCAACAAAGAACUGUUUAUAUUCGCUAUUUGUAGUUUUUCUUCUCUAAAUCGUUUUAAAAAUCCAGCCUUAUAUAACAUUUGCUCUCACCACCACCUCUACUAAAUAAAUGUCACCAGGCUACCGUCUGCCACUUAGCCUUUCCAGCAUGUGCUUCUCUUCAGUAAAGCAGUAGGAUAUCUGAAGUCUUAAAGUAAGGAUCAAAUGAGGACCUCACUGCUGCAUACGGCAAAAGAAUUUCUUCUUCUUUACCUUCUUUAGCCUUUGAAUAUGUGUUAUGUUCAAGUCACUGUUCAGAAUAAACAGUUGGGUAAGGCAUACCUUAUAUUUUUUAGUAACUUAUUGUCAGGAAGGAAAGUUUAAGCAGUACCCUCCUAUGAUAAGAAAUAACUUAUAAAGAGUGCCCCCCGCAAUAGCUAUUAGUGCAGAAAAGUUUCCAAAGAAGGCAAGGUCAAAUAAAUGAUAUUUGUCCUUGAUCUUUGAAAAAUCUCUUACAGGAAUUGCAGGCAGGGACUCAAUAAAAAUAGGAUAGCAUUCCAAGUAGAGUGACCAGUAUAAGCAAGGAAGAGAUGGUGGUAGGAAACUCUUUGGAUGGUAUAGCAUAGCACUUGUAGUAUGAGGUGGAAAAUAAAUAUAGUAGUGCCUUACUGUUAUGUUGAGUCUGGAUUUCAGUAGUCAGUGCAGUACAGAAUAUAUUGGAGAGGGGAACUGAAAAUUUUAGAAUUUAUUCCUAAACAUACAUUAUUUCUAACCAUACAUUGUGCCAGAAAACAAUCAGUGGGUUAUUUUCCAUUAUGUUACCUAUGAUACAUAAAAGAUCAUAAAUCAGAGAGAUGUCCUUGGGAGUUAACGGGAAACACUUGUUAGCUUCAUGUUGAAUUUUGACUUUGAUUGGAGUGAUGACAGGAAGUCACUUAUAAAAUACGUUUUUCCAGUUAGCUAACAUCCAGGAUUCUUCAAAACAGCUAAAGUUUGGCCUUUAUAGGAAACUUGUUAACUUACCUUAUUCUGUUGUCUGUUCCUUGAAUAAUCAGAUGCUUUCUAUUCUGGGAACAUGUAUUUCUGUUUUCCUUUGUUUAUAUACCUAUCCCCACAACAUAUAUGCUUUAUAAAUGUUUGCCAGAUGACUGAAUUAAUUUAUCAAAACAGUAUAUACAUUUCACACUAAAAUCUAUUGUCUUAAUAUGAAACGGGUUUAAAAAAACAAAAGAAUGGAGUUGACAUUAUGUAAAAUUAAUGAGAAAAACUACAAAGAAAAAUAUAGUCAUUUGUAAAUUUAUCUAUAUAAAAAUUGAAAAAAAUGCCAAAAAAAGAAAAAGGACGACUAAAUAGAAGAUAAAACAAAUAUGACAGAUAAAUGGCUAACAUGUGUUGUUACAAUAAAAUACCUCCUGGAAAUUGAGAGAAACUGUCAGAAAAAAAAUAAGUGAAAGAUAAGUAUCAACUACUUCUCCAAAAAGGAAAUAUAUCCUAAAAAGAAUUUAAAUUCAGUAUUUCAGAUCUUUUUUGCCACUGUUACCCUAGUUCAAAUUAUAUUGCCAAACAGAGCUCCUGUACUACUGUCUCCCAGCUACUUAAAUUGACUCUUCUCAGACUUUAAUUUGCUCUCCAUACUGCUGCUGGAGUACAGUACUCUUCAAAACAUCUAAUCAUAUCACUGCAUUUUUAGAACCCUCUAAGCUACUUUUGGUAAAGACUAAUUUAAACAAGGGCAGUCCCUUCCAACUAGCUUUAAAUUUUUUGCUCAUCAUAUCCCUAAUACCUAUUUGUUUAAUUGGUCCUUAAUAUCUUAGACUAUUUCUCACCUGGGUUUCAGUGGUCUUAUAACUGCCUGAACUUACGUAUAAUUUGUGCUUGUUGGCUCUAUGGAGAAUAGACUGUGUUUCACCAAAAUUUCCCAGUUUGUAAAUCUCUGUGGGAUUGACCUUGAGGUAUUUGUAAUCAUAGCUGUGGUUUAUUGUCUAGGAAUUCUUGUUUCAUAACUUUUAUAGUUUUAAUUUUAUUUUAG